UAGAGCAUGGUGUAGGAGGUAGCACAAAGAAUUUUGAGUUCUUGGGGUCAGGUUCGAGUCCUGUGGCUCUAG
rnacentral:tRNA from 1 species